ACCCGUCCCUGCACGACCUGGCCCACCUAACCCCACCAGUUCCUCCAGUUUUCUCUCUUUAGACUCUGCCCCUUGCCUCUGACGGCAGCAGUCUACCUCCCUUCCUCUUGCAGGUAAAUUGCAUAUCCCUUCUGUGAAGCUCAAGCAUCGCUUCCUCAGGAGAUAUGUUCCCGAUACAUUGCCCAGGCUGGAGUGCAGUGGUUAUUCAUGGGGCAAGGUGCCAACUACUAAUGAACAUGGGAGUUUUGACCUGCUUUGUUUCCAGCUUCGGGACACAGAGCCAAGCCAUAUCAAUCAUCCUGGAUCCCUAAAUCCAAUGACAAGUGUCUUUUAUGAGAAAAAGACAGAGAUUUGACACAUCCACAUGAAGAUGCACUCAGGGAUUGGAGCAAAGGAGACACAAGCCAAGGAACAUCUUGGGGCCACCAGUGGCUGGAAGAGGCAAGGAAGGAUCUUCACCAAGAGCCUUCACAUGGAGCAUGACCCAGCUCACACCUUGACUUUGCACUUCUGGCCUCCAGAACUAUGACAAAAUAAAUGUCUGUUGUUUUAAGACA